AUGGCAUCGAAUAAGAAAUUACCAAUUAAUAAUGGUAAUUCUGAAAAUUUAACUUGGAAUAGAGUCAUGGAUGAUGCUCUUGUUGAUGCUUUUAUGCAUAAAUAUGAAAAAGGGAACAAAGUCAACGGUACAUUCACUACAUCAACAUAUGAAAAUAUUGCAGUUGAACUUCGUGCAUUGUUUGGGAACAAAGUUGACAAGAUUUUCUUGGAAUUCAACUACACAAUUAUGGGAUGCCCAGUCAGAAGUUUGGGAUGCUUGAGGUAA